GAGCAGCCCACACGAAAUAGCAUUAACACACCUUGACACCCAGGAAGCAGCUAAAAAUCACCCAUAUUUAUUGAUGCUGAAUAUAAGGUCCUCUUAAAGGUGUCAUCACUGUGGCUUUGUCUUCCAUCCAGCCUGUGAAGAGUUUGAAAUUGAACUGGUGUUGACCGGCGAGCAGUUAGACAUUACUUGCACUGCCUGUGCCUGAAAAAUGUCUGAAAAGAAUAGCAGCCAAGUAAAGCUCCUAGUUAAGAAAGGAGGCAAAGAUGUCUGCAUUCCUUGUCCAAGAGAUAUUGCUGAUCUUUUGACUGAGGC